CCAAAUUAAAUUGCUCAAAAUUUGAGGGUGUUAUACUUUUCUUUUUUCUAAUCAUAUUUUUUUACCAAAAGAUGCAUUUGGGCCUUUUAUUAACUAGCCAACAAUAUUUACAAAUAAACCAGGCCCAAUAACCCGAUCCAAUAGGAAAAAAACUGACCCAAUCUCUAAUUCUAAACAAAAAACAAAAAGAAAAUAUCCAAAAUUGAAAAUGAAAAGACAACAAAUAGGAAAGUGAAGAGUUGAGCUGAACGCUAGCUGCUCCACCUAAAACUUUCGCCGGUACUUCGGACGACCACCAUUGUCAUCGGAUUCAACUACUAAACGACCUUCCGGUUUCAGAUUUUUUAACUGAUUUUCUCUGUAGUUUGGGGCUGAUUCAGACCUCAUCUAUCCUUACUUUUCAUUAUUUAUGAUUCAAAGACAGAUGUGUAUUUUUAAUUUUUGGAUAUUGUACUAGAUACUGUUACAUUGUGACACUAAAUUUUGGAUGAUUUAUGGCAUUUCUUUCACAC